rnacentral:tRNA from 3 species
GCCCGGAUGGCGAAAUUGGUAGACGCAAGGGACUUAAAAUCCCUCGACCGGCAACGGUCAUGCCGGUUCGAUUCCGGCUCCGGGCACCA